UCUUCCGUCGAGCAGCAGCAGCACAGCAGAGAGAAGAGGAAAGGAAUUUGUUGGUGGGGCGAAUACGCGUUCGUUGACUGCGAGAGCCACCAGAUGAUGGUUUGAUAUUUUUUGCCGGAUGAAUCCGGUAGGAAUUGGAUAACAUAAUGCAGAAUAAGCCGGUACCGGUACCGGUAUCGCGUUGAGUUAUCCCCUUAAAGGCGAUCGCUGCCAAAGAUGCAUUAAAGCGAUACGGUGCCAGGAAAUAGAUCUAAUGCAAGAAGCAUGAAAUCGAUACUGAUUAUUUAGCUCGUUAUAUUGAUGGCUGGUUUUACAACGUAAAAUAUUGAUGAUAAACUACGUGUCUUUAAGAAGUUAAAUUUUAAGUGCCAGAUAUAUAUAGGUAACUCAUUAAUAUAAUUGUUAAUGAUGGCGGAAGUACGUUAUAGCUUUCGUUUCUUAUUCAAUCUGUGGUUUCCACAAUGAUUCAUACAAACUAAUGGUCGUUUUUUGCUCGUAGAAGAACAGAAAUACAUGAUACACUUUUAAGAAAAAUAAUUCAAUAUGAUCUGAACAAUUUUCAUUAUGAAUCUUGAAAUGGCAAUGAUUAAGUAAUUCAGUAAAUUUAAUUAUAUCAUAUUUUGUACGAGAAAAAUAUGUUAUCUACACAUUUCUCGAAGUUGCACUGAAUUUUUUAUUUCGAACGGUUUAAAAUUUAUCUGAAAUUACAAUUUGACAGUUCAAGAUUAUUGAGGAUUAUCAAGCAGUUACAUGAUUAAUAUACUGAUACAAUUUAGUCAAUAAAGCUUAUAGGUCAGCUUAUAUGUUUUGCAUAUCACUUUAAUAAACUGAUUAUGCCCUUAAAAUAAUGUACUAUAGUCCCUAAAUAUUUUUUUUGUUUUAAUAAUUCUGUAUUAACUUUUUAGUGACAGUUCAUGUGAAAUGCUGAUUGAUCACAUUAUGAUCCAUCUUAAAUCAUUUUUACUUACGUUAUGUAUAUAAAAUUUAAAAUGGAUCAUAUGUAAUAUAUAUGUAUGUAUAUUUUAUAAUUUUACUUACAAUUUGUGUAGGAUGCCGAUUUUCAGAUAGUUCUUCGUCGCACUUUCUACACGAAUGUGAAUACUUCGUUGACUGAGUGGGAAUGUUCUGACAGCGGUGAUAUUAAGGACAGCAUUGAGGAGAGAGAGAGAGAGAAUGGGUGCUGGUGGGGACAACCCGGUCGACGUAGCAUCGAAUAAUGACGUGGAGAACGGAAUAUCCUGUAGCGAGCCAAAAGAUGGCGAGUUGGAUUGAUACCAUAUAUAAAAUCGAUAAAACUACAAUGAAAACAACGUCCAUAUAUAUAUAUAUAUAUAUAUAUAUAUAUGUAUAUAUAUAUAGAUACCAAAAACCAAACGUAUUACAUUAUAUUGAACUGCUACUAAAUUGUAUUUGAUUACUAAUUUAUAAACUAGUAUUAGAGUCACUACCAGUCAAUAAUAGAUAAAUAAAAACAACAUAAUUAAAUUAAGAAAAAAUAUUUUAAUAAAAUUUAUAUAAAAAUUAAAUUUAAGAAAAUUAUCAGCAAUUUGUUUGUAAUUUAUUGAUGAGAGUUUAUACGUUGAAUACAUUUUGCCUGUAAUGCUUCGU